rnacentral:rRNA from 1 species
UACGUAGGGACCAAGCGUUGUUCGGAUUUACUGGGCGUAAAGGGCGCGUAGGCGGCUUGACAAGUCACUUGUGAAAUCUCCGGGCUUAACUCGGAACGGCCAAGUGAAACUGUCAUGCUAGAGUGCAGAAGGGGCGAUCGGAAUUCUUGGUGUAGCGGUGAAAUGCGUAGAUAUCAAGAGGAACACCUGAGGUGAAGACGGGUUGCUGGGCUGACACUGACGCUGAGGCGCGAAAGCCAGGGGAGCAAACGGG